rnacentral:sRNA from 1 species
AGACCUCAUUGUGCCCUCAGCGCCAGGCUGGGUGAGCCGAGCCUGCAGGCCCAGUGCCCAGGGCCAUCUCAAGGGGCAGCUGGGGGAGGGAGGCUGGGCAUGAGCGGCACUCCCUCUGGGGCUGCCCAAGUUCGGUCUGUCCCAGGACCCAAGCCUGUCUGGCCGACCUGGCUCCCUGCACACUCCCUCCCUCCGUGCCCCUCCCGCUGUGCCUCUCCGCCCUCGGUCGUGGCCGGUCUGAGCCUCCGCUGCGGUGGCCGUCGGAUUCUCUGCUGGUGCCUGCAGGCUCCUCUGCAGACGUUGCCUCCUCCACAUCUCCACGCCAGCUGUGCCACCGCUGUGCAGUCCCUGCCACCUCUGACGACAGACAGCGGCACGCAAAGAGGCUCGGGCGCAGGGGGAAGCUCGUGUUGGCCCCGGCUGGAGUGCACAUCAGUCCCGGCUUCGGCCGUGGCCACCUCCGCCCAGAGCCUUGAGUGGGCAUUGAGGGGGCGCUGCUCUGCGUGAGGUAUGACCUGGACGCGUGUGACAUUCAAGAGAAAUACCCGGAUUUAUUUCAAGUGAACCUGGAAGUGGAGGUGGAGCCCAGGGACAGGCCAAGCCGGGAAGCCCCACCAUGGGAGAACUCCAGCAUGAGGGGGCUGAACCCCAAAAUCCUGUUUUCCAGCCGGGAGGAGCAGCAAGACAUUCUGUCUAAGUUUGGGAAGCCGGAGCUUCCCCGGCAGCCUGGCUCCACGGCUCAGUAUGAUGCUGGGGCAGGGUCCCCGGAAGCCGAACCCACAGACUCUGACUCACCGCCAAGCAGCAGCGCGGACGCCAGUCGCUUCCUGCACACGCUGGACUGGCAGGAAGAGAAGGAGGCAGAGACUGGUGCAGAAAAUGCCUCUCCCAAGGAGAGCGAGUCUGCCCUGAUGGAGGACAGAGACGAGAGUGAGGUGUCAGAUGAUGGGGGGUCCCCGAUCUCCAGCGAGGGCCAGGAACCCAGGGCCGACCCAGAGCCCCCUGGCCUGGCAGCAGGGCCGGUGCAGCAGGACUUGGUUUUUGAGGUGGAGACACCGGCUGUGCUGCCGGAGCCUGUGCCACAGGAAGACGGGGUCGACCUCCUGGGCCUGCACUCCGAGGUGGGCGCAGGGCCAGCUGUACCCCCGCAGGCCUGCAAGGCCCCCUCCAGCAACACCGACCUGCUCAGCUGCCUCCUUGGGCCCCCUGAGGCCGCCUCCCAGGGGCCCCCGGAGGAUCUGCUCAGCGAGGACCCGCUGCUCCUGGCAAGCCCGGCCCCUCCCCUGAGCGUGCAGAGCACCCCAAGAGGAGGGCCCCCUGCCGCUGCUGACCCCUUUGGCCCGCUUCUGCCGUCUUCAGGCAACAACUCCCAGCCCUGCUCCAAUCCUGAUCUCUUCGGCGAAUUUCUCAAUUCGGACUCUGUGACCGUCCCACCAUCCUUCCCGUCUGCCCACAGCGCUCCGCCCCCAUCCUGCAGCGCCGACUUCCUGCACCUGGGGGAUCUGCCAGGAGAGCCCAGCAAGAUGACAGCCUCGUCUAGCAACCCAGACCUGCUGGGAGGAUGGGCUGCCUGGACCGAGACUGCAGCGUCGGCAGUGGCCCCCACGCCAGCCACAGAAGGCCCCCUCUUCUCUUCUGGAGGUCAGCCGGCCCCUUGUGGCUCUCAGGCCAGCUGGACCAAGUCUCAGAACCCGGACCCAUUUGCUGACCUUGGCGACCUCAGCUCCGGCCUCCAAGGCUCACCAGCUGGAUUCCCUCCUGGGGGCUUCAUUCCCAAAACGGCCACCACGCCCAAAGGCAGCAGCUCCUGGCAGACAAGUCGGCCGCCAGCCCAGGGCGCCUCAUGGCCCCCUCAGGCCAAGCCGCCCCCCAAAGCCUGCACACAGCCAAGGCCUAACUAUGCCUCGAACUUCAGUGUGAUCGGGGCGCGAGAGGAGCGGGGUGUCCGCGCACCCAGCUUUGCUCAAAAGCCAAAAGUCUCUGAGAACGACUUUGAAGAUCUGUUGUCCAAUCAAGGCUUCUCCUCCAGGUCUGACAAGAAAGGGCCAAAGACCAUUGCAGAGAUGAGGAAGCAGGACCUGGCUAAAGACACGGACCCACUCAAGCUGAAGGCACCAGGGACCAUCCCCUUCUCCCUCGGAGUCUGGGGCCUGGGAUGGGCCAAGGGGUUGCACCACCAGAACCAGGGUUUGUGUCCUCGGUGAACAUCUGGCUGAGACGAGGGUCCCUCUGGCCCCAGGCCCUGAAACAUGAAGGCCACCUGGCCCUGUGUCGUCCGGAGUGGGCUCUAUAUAGUUGAGGGCAGGGCGUGCAGUGGGACAGUGUCUGUGAGCCGGGCUGAGCCCACCCCACGUGACCAGGCACUUCCUCAGCGUCGUGCCUCAGUUUCCGCGGUGCAGAGGAGGAGGGCAGGCAGGUGCCCAAGGCUCAGCAAGCUCCGUGUCUCCCGCAGCUCCUGGACUGGAUUGACGGCAAGGAGCGGAACAUCCGGGCCCUGCUGUCCACGCUGCACACAGUGCUGUGGGACGGGGAGAGCCGCUGGACGCCCGUGGGCAUGGCCGACCUGGUGGCUCCGGAGCAGGUGAAGAAGCACUAUCGCCGCGCGGUGCUGGCCGUGCACCCCGACAAGGCCGCAGGGCAGCCAUACGAGCAGCACGCCAAGAUGAUCUUCAUGGAGCUGAAUGACGCCUGGUCGGAGUUUGAGAACCAGGGCUCCCGGCCCCUCUUCUGAGGCCGCAGUGGUGGUGGCUGCGCACACAGCUCCACAGGUUGGGAGCCGUCAUGGGACUUGGGUCCCCACCGUGAGGACCCCGUGGGCGACAGCAGGUGUGGCCAGGGUGGGGCUCCGAGCCCCGGGUCACCGCCCGCCCAGCAUUCCAGGCACAUGAAGAGAAAGCAUUCCAAAGCCUCUGAUUGUUGUUUCCUUUUUCUCCUCCCGAAGGAACAGCUGAUUCAUGCUCCUCCCACAAUUGUCACGUCUGUGAUUUAUUUGGUGUUUCGGGCGUGGUCUCUGGAGCCCCGGCACGUGGUGGGCCACGCUGCUGGCGCUCAUGGGCCCUGGUGUUUGCACCGCACUUUGUAAUCAGUCCCGUGGUUGUCUGUACAGAAUUAAACUAUUUUCCGAUG